CCUGUCGCAGGAGAGAUGGCGC
rnacentral:miRNA from 1 species